CACAGCCGCCAUCUUUGUGUCUUCAUAAUUAAAAAGGGUGACCAGCUACGCCCUCUGCUGGACUGCGGCCCAACUACAGCUCUUAAACAGUGAAACAGCGCCGACCUGUGCUGGGAGGCGCUGAAGUGAACGUGUGAAACGUCAGAGAAGAAAGAGACGGACGCCAAACUGUCAACAGCGCAAGACAGAAGAGCUGAGUUGCGAUGCAGUUUUGUCUCCUGAGGAUCCAUUGCUGCUGAACGUAGACGAAACGCUGAACACCGUGUCCCCGGGGAGACCCUGCAACGAGCAGCAACAAAAUGGUUUCCGAUUUUAUUAUGUGGAUUUCGGACUUGGAGAGCCAAAGUGUGAGCAGUGCAGCAUCCGCAGUCGGCUGUGAGUUAUUUAUAGUGGAGUGGGCGCCGUCGAACAUUUCCUGCCAAGAUGGGGCUCCUCUCACCCACAUGAUGGAGGCCCAGAGCAGUCGGCCCCCCACCGUCCUCAAAUCUAAGAAAACUGUUUUGUUUUUUGCUAUUAUUUUAAAAAUAUUAAUAACAAGUUACUAAAUAUCAAU